rnacentral:rRNA from 1 species
UUUUUAUGAGAGUUUGAUCCUGGCUCAGGACGAACGCUGGCGGCGUGCCUAAUACAUGCAAGUCGAACGCUUCUUUUUCCACCGGAGCUUGCUCCACCGGAAAAAGAGGAGUGGCGAACGGGUGAGUAACACGUGGGUAACCUGCCCAUCAGAAGGGGAUAACACUUGGAAACAGGUGCUAAUACCGUAUAACAAUCAAAACCG